AUCUAUCACACGUGUAGACAAAGGGGGACUCCACAACACAAAGCUGGAUGUGCCCUCUCAAAACUUUUUUUUCUCCUCCGCGACGCACGGCGACGCGCGCAGAGCAAGCCGCCCCCAGGUGGAUUCAAACUCCAGAUUAACCAGCAAAGCGCUUUCUGCCAUGGGAGGUGCAGGAAAUACAAAUGUGUGGAAAUCAAAUGGAAGCUGUACGGAGUCACCUAUCAAGCAGCCUUUAAAACGAGAAGGAGGAGGAGGAUUAGGAGGCUGAGCUGUUUUCUUCUGGAGAAGGUGAAGAUUCAGGGAUUUAAACUCCAGCAGCAUCAGUGCCAGGCGGAAAUCGUCACACUCGGAAAUCGAAAAGUCAUGGAGACACUUUGAGGAUUAUAAAAAAAUGUGCCGUGUGUCUCUCCACAAGACACGUCGCGGGCCGGAGUCACUGGAACAGCAGGAUAUAUCAUGUCUGAUCCCCAUCGACGGCCCUCAGCCGGGGUAGACGCACAGUGAGAUGCUGCUGGGCCUCAGUAGACAGUGAGAGCACGGAGCCAGCCCCCUCUUCAGUUCACCGCCAGUUCACGCCGCUCCACACUGACAGAAAUGAUGCUGACAGAAAUGCAAAUUUGGGACAGUGACAGCAGCGGUGACAGCCACAAAUGUUAACAUUACGCCUCACAACUUCAGGUACCAAUUUGGAUUCACUUGAAAGUGUGGCUCCAGACUUUUAGACAAGGGACUGUGUUAUUCUUGUCUCGGAGGAGUUCGGCGUGUUAGGCUGUUAAUGCCCUGCCGCUUUCUGCUGAUUCAUCUGCUUCUGGAGUUUGCUGAACGAUCUCAAAGUAUCCUGUCAGACCUUGUGAGAGCGCGAAACGCCACAUUUGAUUUUGAUGACAAUACCAAACUAAGUAGCAUCAUUACUUUUGUUACAGAUGAAAGUGCAUUCUGGGACAAACGUCCUCAGCAGUAGAUAUGGGCUGUCUCCAAAGUCACACCUGUGUAGUCAACUAUAUGAUGAGUUCGCCAUUUUGUUGCUGGGCGGCAGGAACAGACAGACCUGUCUUAAUAAAAGCAAAGAAGUGUAUCACAGCACAAACUGCAGCAAACACAUGUAUUUCUACAUUAAAAGGUUGUAAGUCAAUGUGCUUUUAACCUAAAAGUAUGAAUAUGAAAUGGUAAAAUUAAUAUUUAGAAUAUAAUGAUGUUGUUGUACGUCAUAAUCCUGUGAAUACCGGCAAAGAAGAAAAUGUGCAUAGUAGCCUCUGAAAGCGUGUUCCUCUUUUGUAUAUGAGCUCAUUUUAUAUUCCUCUCAAUUGAAGUUAGUGGAUUUUGUACACAGCCACAGAGAUAAUAUAAUAAUAAUGUCCUUGUAUAAAAAUAAACUUUAUUA